UCUCCCACGCACGCAAGACUCCUCUCCCCCACAUUCUCGGCCUCAUCUCCCACUGUCUCACGGCGGCAACACCCCACUGCUCGUCCGCCUCCGCCCCUUCUUCUCGUCGACGUCGUUGGGUCAGGAGCGGGUAAACGACAUCCAGGAGUCCCAGCGGUGUGUGCAGACGGGGCUGCAACGCCAGGGCUCUGCAUCUGAUGGAGGGCGGCAUCUUGAUCCGGAGCACUGCCGGGAAGGAGAUGCUAGGAUCAUCCUUCACGAGAGGGACUGAAGUAGUUCGCCUCGAUAGGCGGCCGAGGAAGGUGGAUCGCCUCAUCGACUCUUCUUCUGAAAAAGAAGAUCGCCCUUACAGGUGCAGGCGGAUGAGUCGAUGCGCCCGAAUGAGGGCUACAGAGGACGUCGAAUUCCAAGCACUGCCGCCGCCUGAUUCUGCUACCGUGAUGUUUUCUUUCCUUUUUUUUUUUCUCAUAGUUCCACAUCGGAUGUAUGUCUCUUGGGCGCUUGGCAGGGAGGAGAAAUUAUUUUACAUGGGGAAUGCAAGAUACAUGAAGAAGAUGCACCGCUGCUGAAGGUUUCCUUUUCUGCAACUUUUUCCGUUUUCCAUUUGUCUAAACGUUGCUCUAUUCCAACUUGUAACUGCAUCGUGAAAUCCAGGUUCCUAAUGUUUCUUACAUGCUUGCUUCUACAUAUAACUUUUACCUUUGAUUUCAGCAUCAGCUGUACUGACAAUACUAACAAGGGACAGUUCAUAUUGUUUGGAGAAAUCAGAGAACCACUUGUUGGUAAAUAGGUAGGCCUUUACAUACUGCUGCAUCAUCUCGUACUGCAGCUUUAGGAUCCAAAUAAGCAUGGCGAUGUUCCCUCUUUAUGUUUGUACCACGUCAUUUGGGUUGCAGGCGCAACGAGAUAUUGAAUUAUUGAUAUUUACACUGAUUGACAGUCUAUGGUUCUCUAUGUGGACUUUUUUAGAUAGCUCUGAAGAGAAUGUGGUGAUCCAGGCUCUGACCUGCACUUUUGUGGUUUUUUUCCUCAAACUAAUUCACUGCAAUUUCAUAUAUAGUGUAUUCUCUCCGCCUUACUUAAUCACAAAAAAAUAUAGCCAUUCAUUCAUGUACACUAAGUUGUAUAGCGACUUGCCGGCAAGAGUUGACUUAUUUUGUUCCACUGACCUCACAAGCCACACAGAGUGCAGUUUAAUAUAAUAGAUGUGGUGCAUGUUUACUCGAAAAUUUUAAUCAUCCAUAUUCCUUGCACUGCAAUAUGCAAUGGUGAAUUUAUUCUCAAGGCUUAUCUUGUGGUUUCAGAAAGCUCCCAUGUACGCCACCAUGACAAGAUUGUUUCACGUCUACAACAAGCAUGACUGGAAGGCUAGAAACAAAAUGCGAUUCAAUUAUGGUGUGUGUAUGGAUCUUUCAGUUGUGUGGCUACACAAUUUGAAAGUUCACUAUUAUUCUGAUAUGCCAUCUUAUUUGGCUGACCACGUAGCUAAAUUAAAGUGUGUUCCUCAGGUUUCUGAGAAAAGCUUUCAGGGGUAUCCAGUUGUCACAUGGUUUGGACUCUGGAGUUGGACUACGAAAAUGACUAGGUUGACAAAUUGUUCUGGUAAGAGAUUCAACAUUUUUGACCACUACUUUUUUCAAGUGACACAAAUCUAUACUUGCUACAUAUAGAUCAGAAGGAUAGUUACCUUGCUGCAUUGAGCUCACCAUUUAUUAUACUGGAUGUUUGUAUCUUCUACCUUCAGGGAGGCGAUGGAACUGAGGACUGUUUGUAUCUUCUGUUGAGCUGGUAGGUUAUUUUUCUUAUUGCUGAUCUUAUUGCACCUACAUCCUAUGGCAAAUGGAUGUUUAUGUUAGUACUAUCUUCCGUUUAAUUGUCAGGAUAUUGACACCUACACUAUAUAUAUAUAUAUCUUCAUUUGGUGGCCUUGUUGUUGUCUUUGGCUAGCAUUUGAGUGAAGAUGUAGUUUGGUUGUUCUGCCUUGCAUUGUUUGGAUUGAAAGUACUAGGCCUUUCUGUUUCCCCUUUUUGUCCGAACUAAUCGAUGAUGACAGGAUGAGUUUCCUAGAAAGACGGAGAUGCAGAUUGGCAUGCCAAGGUCCAACACAGGUACCUCCCGUGACUUGAUGAAGCACCAGACCGAGAGCUUCCACAUCAAAAACUGUAUUGGGGCAUGCCGGUGGGAGAAGAAUGUACACAGAGAACGACGACGGAUGCUUAGAAGAAUUUGACCGUGAUUGGGAUGAUAAGAUUGGGCUGCAACUGUAUGGCAAAGGAGGAGGGGUUUCUGAUACAGGUACUACUUCAGGCAGAUUCAGAUUAAUCCAUGUCCAUUAAAAAGACUCAAGCUAAGCUGAGUGCAACUAUGUAGAGAUGCAUGUGUUGUAACCUGGCCACUAGCAUAAGAACCAUGGACUGUGAAUGUAACAUGUAACUUUUGCCUUUUUCCUAUAGCCCGAUUGACUAUGGAUACCUAAUACAAAUGAACUUACUACACUGUUUUAUGGAACUGUAGAAUGAAUGGGUACCUCAAGAGGUAUGUUGCAUGUAUAUCGAGAAAUAUUUGAACUUUUAAAUUAAGUAAAUGCGCGCUGUUUGGUAUACUA